UCACGCCGCGUGAAUGAAGAAGGCCUUAGGGUUGUAAAGUUCUUUUAUCCAAGAGCAAAGUGUGUAAGUAAUAUGUAGCAUAUAUGAGAGUAUUGGAGGAAUAAGCACCGGCUAACUACGUGCCAGCAGCCGCGGUAAUACGUAGGGUGCGAGCGUUAAUCGGAAUUACUGGGCGUAAAGGGUGCGUAGGCGGAUACUCAAGUUAGAUGUGAAAUACCUGGGCUUAACCUAGGAGGUGCAUUUAAGACUGGGAGUCUAGAGUUUGUCAGAGGGUGGUAGAAUUCCAAGUGUAGCAGUGAAAUGCGUAGAGAUUUGGAGGAAUACCGGUGGCGAAGGCGGCCACCUGGGAUAGAACUGACGCUGAGGCACGAAAGCGUGGGGAUCAAACAGGAUUAGAUACCCUGGUAGUCCACGCCCUAAACGAUGUCUACUUGCUGUUGGGGGGUAAGAGCCUUAGUAGCGAAGCAAACGCGAGAAGUAGACCGCCUGGGGAGUACGGUCGCAAGAUUUAAACUCACAGGAAUUGACGGGGACCCGCACAAGCGGUGGAUGCUGUGGAUUAAUUCGAUGCCACGCGAA
rnacentral:rRNA from 1 species